GGGGGCGUAGUUCAGUCGGGAGAACGCCUGCUUUGCAAGCAGGAGGUCGGCGGUUCGAUUCCGCCCGCCUCCA
rnacentral:tRNA from 1 species